UUCCUCCCUUUCUCUUGUGAUUUGGAUAGACAGGCCUAGAGCUGAUUAAACACCAGGGCUGGGCUCUGCCUUCCAAUAAAAACAGCAACAGCCACAACCUCUGAGGCACAGAUUGAAUCUGGAAACUCCCCAAGUAACUCACAAGAAGGAGGCUGUUGAUCUGCCACAGUCCCAGAGCCGCUGCAAUCAUCCGAGAUGGAAAGGGGCAAAGACAUCGAAGAGAUUCUUAGAGGUGUGACGCAUUCCAGAUGUGUGGGAGUCGAGAUAACCAACAAAACUACAGUGGCCAUCCGCUCCCCAAGCUUUUUCUGUUACAGCGGUCACACCUUCAUCCCCCCUGCACCAGCCAUCAGCCCUGGCUGCAAGGAGACCUGUGUGUUUGUGAAAAGGAACCUCAGUGCCUGGGGAGUUGCAGGGGCUCUCACCUAUGAGUGGGCCGGUUUCUCAUUUAUCCUCAUGUUCUCCAACCCCUUUGACAACAACCUGCACCACCUCCAGUAUGCACUGGAAAUCUGCGAGGGCAGAAUGAGCUGCAAAGAAUUGGAGAGUCUCUACCACAUCAUGCGUGGCCACAGGCCUCUGUCCAGAACCUAUCAAAAGGACCGACUUGGGAGAAACACAACUGCCCUUGUUGUUACCUUACAUAGCUUUCAGAUUUCUGCCACUAUGUCCAAUCACAGCAAAGCUGCCCUUAGAAUAUUAAUUGAAGAGAGAGGUUCUCCUCCCUCCUACACUACACAGCCACCUUGCUCCCAGCAGCUAUCUUCUCCGCUCCCCCGCUUCUCUCAGAAGCUGACCCAGUAACCCACCUGAAAACGGCGUUCCUGUCUCAGAAAUCCCAAACGAGAGGGAGACACCACCCUGACUUGGAAUGCUCUUCAUGCAGAAUCCAGGACCCGCAGAGGGCAAAUUUUCAGUGGACUUCCCCCCCAUCUUUUCUGUUCAGAUUAUUAUAUUGUUUUGUCCAGGGGAAAAAAAAUCAACCUGUAUAGCUGUUCCUGAACAAAGCAAAUAAUGGGCUCAGGGCCACAGAAAGAAGGUCACCAGAGAACCCACGGGACACAAUCACUGCUCAGUCCCUGGGCUGUGCCAAGAACCUGAGUAGUAACAAAGCUCAGCAGCAGAACCAUUCCAAAGCCAGCUGACAAGCAGUAAAGAUGACUGGUGGGAAGACCAGAGGGCCUGAUUCUGCAUUUGGGCCUGAUCUGACCACUCUUAGCCACAUUGGAUGAAAUUCCCCUUGUGCACAGAGUCAGUAUGAACCCCACCAAAGCUCCCAAAAUGGGAUUUAGUUGGGGUUGGUUCUGCUUUGAGCAGGGGUUGGACUAGAUGACCUUCUGAGGUCUCUUCCAACCCUAAUCUUCUAUGAUUCUAUUAAAUAUAACCUACGUGGUAUUCUGGCCUCUGAGGAGGGGGCUUCACCUCCUGAGUGACUAGAUUCUCAGCAUCACAAUUCCGGGGGGCCCAGCACCCACAGAUUUCCAAACAUGCUCCCAGCUGUUCUCACAAACUGGCCUGACUGUGGGUUCUGGGCUCCUCUGGUCAUUCUGGCCAUGCUUUGCAAGUUACUCCCAAUGGGGGUCCUUGCAGAGCAAGGUGCUGCUGAGGUUGAGUCAAGGGGCCAGAGCCGAGUCCUGCUGUUGGCAGUCUGGUCAUAGACACAUGCACGAAAAUUCCCAUACCCCACAGCUGCUCCAAGUGUCCUAUUCCCGGGAGCUGGAGCCAGGCGUUUGCAUAUGUUGAUAUGGGAGGGGUCAGGAAGGCUUGUGGGAGGGUUUUGCAGCACCAGUUGCCAGCCCUGUAUCUGGGACUACGCAGCCCUGUUCUGGAGCUGAUGGGAAACAUAAGAACGGCCAUAUUGGGUAAGACCAAAGGUCCAUCUAGCCCAGUAUCCUGUCUUCUGACAGUGGCCAAUGCCAGGUUCCCCAGAGGGAAUGAACAGACAGGUAAUCAUCACAUGAUCCAUCCCCUGUGCGUUGGGUGAAAAAAAACCUUCCUUUUGUACCAUCCAGACAUCCUGAGACCUACACAAGCUAAAUCCCAGCAAUGCACCAUCCACACAGCCUGAGACCUACAGCAGCUAAACCCCCACAAUGCACCAUCCACACAGCCUGAGACCCACACCAGCUAAACCCCCUCAAUGCACAAUCCCCACAGCCUGAGACCUACACCAGCUAAACCGCUGCAAUGCACCAUCCAGACAGCCUGAGACCUACACCAGCUAAACCCCCACAAUGCACCAUCCACACAGCCUGAGACCUACACCAGCUAGAGGGACAGAACCACAUUGGAAAUAGCAGCAGGGAUGGGGGGUAAGGAGGGGCAAAGUUUGAUAUUUCUACUGUCUGUAGCAAUGUUGGUUGGCCCCUGCCCUUUCUUCCCAUAUCACCUGUCACAUCUGUGGGAAGAUGCUAAGUCCCUGAGUGCAUAAACUGUACCCUUGUGUCUCUCUCAGACAAAGGCACGUACAUUCUGGGUGCUGUGAAAUCUAAUAAAACUUCAUAAUACUAAAAACUGUCCUGAGGAGAGUCACUUCUAAACAAAGAACAGAAUUAAUUCUUUUGUUCACAUAAAUACAGAGGGUCCAGGUCACCACUGAUAUCAAUUGGCCAUAGCUCCAUUGUAGUCAAAGGGCCGGAUCCCCAGCUGCAGUAAACUGGUCCUGUGCCACUGGAGUCAAUGGUCCAAUUUAUGUCAGCUGGAGGUCUGGCCCAGAGGUCAGCCCAAACCUAUUGCCAUGGACUCUAUGGGCUGUCUGAGUUUCUCACCUGCAGCUGGACUCUCACUUCAGCUCAGCUCUACUCAAACACAAUAGGAGCAAUGCAUGCUGGGAAAGCUGCUGACUUUUCUACCAUCUCCUCCUUAUGACAGAGGCUUAAGGUAAUAAGGCUUAAGCCUCUCCAGCAGCAAGAUGUUCCGCCUGGAAGAUGACACAUCCCGAAACGCUGCCUGUUGCUUCUUAUCCUAUCCUCAGAGGUUAAGAAGAACAAUUUUUCUUCUUCCUCCUUGUAACAACCUUUUAUGAACUUGAAAACUGUUAU